CCUACGGGAGGCAGCAGUGAGGAAUCUUGGUCAAUGGGCGCGAGCCUGAACCAGCCAAGUCGCGGGAGGGAAGACGGUCCUAUGGAUUGUAAACCUCUUUUGUCGGGGAGCAAAAGACGCCACGCGUGGCGUUCCGAGAGUACCCGAAGAAAAAGCAUCGGCUAACUCCGUGCCAGCAGCCGCGGUAAUACGGGGGAUGCGAGCGUUAUCCGGAUUUAUUGGGUUUAAAGGGUGCGCAGGCGGAAGAUCAAGUCAGCGGUAAAAUUUAGUGGCUCAACCUCUUAGAGCCGUUGAAACUGGUUUUAUUGAGUGAGCGAGAAGUAUGCGGAAUGCGUGGUGUAGCGGUGAAAU
rnacentral:rRNA from 1 species